rnacentral:rRNA from 1 species
GACGUAGGGGGCGAGCGUUGUCCGGAUUCAUUGGGCGUAAAGCGCGCGCAGGCGGCUUGGUUAGUCGGAUGUGAAAAUCCGGGGCUCAACCCCGGACCUGCAUCCGAUACUGCCAGGCUAGAGGCAGGUAGGGGAGAUCGGAAUUCCUGGUGUAGCGGUGGAAUGCGUAGAGAUCCGGAAGAACACCGGAGGCGAAGGCGGCUUGCUGGGCGUGAUCUGACGCUGAGGCGCGAAAGCGUGGGGAGCGAACAGG